GAUGAACGCUAGCGGCAGGCCUAAUACAUGCAAGUCGGACGGGAUCCAUCGGAGAGCUUGCUCGAAGAUGGUGAGAGUGGCGCACGGGUGCGUAACGCGUGAGCAACCUACCUCUAUCAGGGGGAUAGCCUCUCGAAAGAGAGAUUAACACCGCAUAACAUCAACAGUUCGCAUAUUCAGUUGAUUAAAUAUUUAUAGGAUAGAGAUGGGCUCGCGUGACAUUAGCUAGUUGGUAGGGUAACGGCUUACCAAGGCGACGAUGUCUAGGGGCUCUGAGAGGAGAAUCCCCCACACUGGUACUGAGACACGGACCAGACUCCUACGGGAGGCAGCAGUAAGGAAUAUUGGUCAAUGGGCGGAAGCCUGAACCAGCCGUGCCGCGUGCAGGAUGACUGUCCUAUGGGUUGUAAACUGCUUUUGUCCAGGAAUAAACCUAUCUACGUGUAGAUAGCUGAAUGUACUGGAAGAAUAAGGAUCGGCUAACUCCGUGCCAGCAGCCGCAGUAAUAC
rnacentral:rRNA from 1 species